GUGAGCCACUCAGAUGCCCCAGCAUAUGGUAAGUUUUUAAUUUAAAAAAUAAUUAAGCUUUUUUUUAACCUAUAAAAAACAUGUAGAUUGAUCUGUUGGUGACUUGCCAUAUCUGUCACUUUGAAAUCCAUCCUUUGUCUUUGGCGAGCUGGGGUAUGUGGCUGUCCUUGCCCAAGGGAUCCUGAUUGAUCUUCUCUGGUGGCAACAGGGCUCAGCCCCCUCCUUCCUGCAGGAUAAAGGAAACCUUGGAAGAGAGGCAGUGACAAGGUUGAUGGCAAAAAGACCUCUAAGGAUUUCAGAAUAAAUACUUAGACACCAACUGAGAAUACGUAGAACUUUCUAGAAGGUCUGAAUGAAUACACCCUCCCCUACUUGAAACUUCAGGACAGCUGGCAGCUUAGGCCUUUUGUCCUCCAUCUGUGUCCAGCUAUUAGAGUUGUGCUGUGAUGUUAUUGAAUUGAAUCAAGAACCCAGGUGUGCUACCUCUUUCAGGCCCAUGUCAUCUUAAAGGUCCAAGAUCUACAGGCUAGUUGGAACAGAUGAGUAGAGGAAGAAGGAAAGAAUAUUUAUUGUUUUGACUCCAAAAUAUGGUGGCAAAACUUUGCAAAAUACAGAAGGUUAAAAGAUUGCCACAAUA